GACCUGCUACGUACAGGACACAACUCGCGCUAUCGAAACGUUCCUUCCUCCCAUGCUCCGGAGCUUUGGCGGCGUCACGCGGACUCGCUCGCACUCACGGCUGUGGGCGGUUAGCAUUCAUUUCACGCCAGAUACCUGCGUAAAUGUUUUGAGUAGUUCUCAUUUGCUGAGAAGGAACUAUUGUUGACAGAAGGCCGGCUGGAGUGACCAUGCAGUUCUAGACGCUACAGUCUGGAGCCGAGCGCCCGCUACGGUCGCAGGUUCGAAUCCUGCCUCGGAAUUCAACAAUAUGCCCAACAAAGAUGGACAGGAUGGGUAUUUGAGUGCUCACAUUCUUCCCUUCUUUCGGAAAGCAAGGAGACCACGCCCAAAUUCCAUUAUCAAUCUUAGAAGGACAGCAAACUAUUAUUAUAAGAGGUCGCCUCACAGAUACAGGGAAAGUUGGAGUACUUUGCCGGCCUCCGCCGGCUUUAUAAUGCCAGCGCAGCAGCAGUACAGCCAGAUCCUCACCGAGCUAGACCUUGCCGAUGCUCUUGAUGAAUGGUC